CCUACGGGAGGCAGCAGUAGGGAAUAUUGGGCAAUGGACGCAAGUCUGACCCAGCCAUGCCGCGUGCAGGAAGAAGGCGUUAUGCGUUGUAAACUGCUUUUAUACAGGAAGAAACGACUCUUGCGAGAGGCAUUGACGGUACUGUAUGAAUAAGCACCGGCUAACUCCGUGCCAGCAGCCGCGGUAAUACGGAGGGUGCAAGCGUUGUCCGGAUUUAUUGGGUUUAAAGGGUGCGCAGGUGGUUUAUUAAGUCAGUGGUGAAAGACGGUCGCUCAACGAUUGCAGUGCCAUUGAAACUGGUAGACUUGAGUAAAGUAGAGGUGGGCGGAAUUGAUAGUGUAGCGGUGAAAUGCAUAGAUAUUAUCAAGAACUCCAAUUGCGAAGGCAGCUCACUUGGCUUUUACUGACACUCAUGCACGAAAGUGUGGGUAUCAAACAGGAUUAGAUACCCUGGUAGUCCACACUGUAAACGAUGAUAACUAGGUGUCGGCCGAAUCUGGUCGGUGCCACAGCGAAAGCGUUAAGUUAUCCACCUGGGGAGUACGCCGGCGACGGUGAAACGUUAAUGAAUUGACGG
rnacentral:rRNA from 1 species